rnacentral:rRNA from 1 species
AUUGAACGCUGGCGGCAGGUUUAACACAUGCAAGUCGAGCGGGGUGAUGGUGCUUGCACUAUCACUUAGCGGCGGACGGGUGAGUAAUGCUUAGGAAUCUGCCUAUUAGUGGGGGACAACAUCUCGAAAGGGAUGCUAAUACCGCAUACGUCCUACGGGAGAAAGCAGGGGAUCACUUGUGACCUUGCGCUAAUAGAUGAGCCUAAGUCGGAUUAGCUAGUUGGUGGGGUAAAGGCCUACCAAGGCGACGAUCUGUAGCGGGUCUGAGAGGAUUAACAGCCACACUGGGGCUGAGACACAGAGCAAACUCCUGCGGGGGGCAGCAGUGGGGAAUAUUGGACAAUGGGGGGAACCCUGAUCCAGCCAUGCCGCGUGUGUGAAGAAGGCCUUAUGGUUGUAAAGCACUUUAAGCGAGGAGGAGGCUCUUUUGGUUAAUACCCAAGAUGAGUGGACGUUACUCGCAGAAUAAGCACCGGCUAACUCUGUGCCAGCCGCCGCAGUAA